GGAAGACCCUACCCACAUCAACUUCCGGAGGCUAUGGACAGAUUUGCCAUGACAACCGUGGGUAGACAUAUUUACUUCGUUGGAGGUGUUGUUUGCACCAUGGACAAAGAGGAAAGGAAGCAGAAAUUUGUGACGGAUCGGCGGAUCGUGUCCUACACGACUAGUGUCUCCGCCAUGUCUCGCACGGAACUGAUGGAGCCGGAAGAAGACGAAGAUACGGACGACGAAAAACCCGUCCUGGUGUCGGACUUUAUAUCUCCGUGGAACUUAGCUCUUCCCAAUAUGUCGUUCGGUAGACACAGUCAUGGAAUUGCAGCAAUUGGAAGUCGUAUUUUUGUAAUGGGAGGAUCUCUUCUGGAAACUGGUCAACAGGUUCGUGUUGUAGAGGUGUUUGAUACCGAGAAGGGGGAGUGGGAGGAGGACUUCCGCUUCCGGAAAGGUGAUGUGUCCAAUGUAACAUGUGCAAUUUUAGAAGUUCCCUACAAACAAGAGGAAAAUCGACUAAAUGAACGUUUACGAUGGAUUCUGUGGUAGCUUCCAGUGAAAUAGUUCCCUGUACUAUUACAAUGCUAGAAAUCCAUGGAUGAAUAGACUAGAUGUUGUACAGUGUAGAUUCUUAUAUUUUUUGAAAAAGUUGCAUUUUAUAAAUCUAGUUGCAAAGAUUAAGAUGAGCUUGUUCAAUGAUAGUUCGUUUAGUGCUUUUGAAAAGUAUUUGUUCAUAAUUGUCAUUGAUUAUUUAUACAUGAUAUAUUAAUAAAAAAAAUCACUUUU
rnacentral:misc_RNA from 1 species